rnacentral:rRNA from 1 species
AGUGAACGCUGGCGGUAGGCCUAACACAUGCAAGUCGAACGGCAGCACAGUAAGAGCUUGCUCUUACGGGUGGCGAGUGGCGGACGGGUGAGGAAUACAUCGGAAUCUACUUUUUCGUGGGGGAUAUCGUAGGGAAACUUACGCUAAUACCGCAUACGACCUACGGGUGAAAGCAGGGGAUCUUCGGACCUUGCGCGAUUGAAUGAGCCGAUGUCGGAUUAGCUAGUUGGCGGGGUAAAGGCCCACCAAGGCGACGAUCCGUAGCUGGUCUGAGAGGAUGAUCAGCAACACUGGAACUGAGACACGGUCCAGACUCCUACGGGAGGCAGCAGUGGGGAAUAUUGGACAAUGGGCGCAAGCCUGAUCCAGCCAUACCGCGUGGGUGAAGAAGGCCUUCGGGUUGUAAAGCCCUUUUGUUGGGAAAGAAAAGCAGCAGGUUAAUACCCCGCUGUUCUGACGGUACCCAAAGAAUAAGCACCGGCUAACUUCGUG